UGAAUCAAACAAUCCCUCCAUGAGAAACCAGAAUUUAGCACAUACCCUUCAGCCUUCAAAUGAUUAACCAGAAUUUCAUAGGCGCCAUAGAUCUCCUUAGAUUUCAUAUGAGUUGCAUCUUCAACUACAAGUAUUGCUGGAAAUGGAAAAAAUCCUAGUCGGAUUAUUACCAUAGGUCAAAACUUUGGAGCUCCAUGGGAUUUGCUGAAAACUUGCUCCUCAUCUUCUAGAAUUUUCACAUUUUCACACACUAUAGAAAGGUUGCACACCACAGGUUAUCACCAUCUCCCAGAUCCAAUUUUGUGAUAGAUUUUAGAGCCUUUUUUUUUUUUGGUAUCUUACUUGAGAGUUGCCAUGUAUGAUAGCCUAGGAUGCAGAGCCUGUUUUAAACUUGCAACUGUCAUCUACUGGUCAGGUCUCAUUUAAAGAAUUGAUGAGUCUGUAAGGUAUAUAUAUUUCAAGAUAUUAGUAGGUAGCUGAUCAGUCAUUUUCACUUGAAACACUGUGGAAGUAACCAAAGAGUUUUGGCAACCGCUCUCGCCUAUCGUAUUAAGCAUGUUAUUACAUUAAAAAGACACCAAACAAUGUUUUAUAGUAAUUUAGUGGGUGCAUUUCACUCAGAAGUUUUCAUCUUUGAACUGAUAUUUUUGUUUAACAGAUUAGGAGAUGUGUGUGUCAAAGGGGUUAUAUGUUAAAAAGCAACUUGGUUAGGUUUCUGCUAUAACAUUUUCUUUUAGCACCUUAAAGGUGGCCCAUCUCUACAUUUAGCUUGUGAUAUUGUGAGUAUUCUGAUAAAAAUUGUGAUGUGUUAUGAUCUUGGAGAUAGCCCAUAUAUUGUAGUUGAAGUGUUGGCUCUCCAUACUCUUCUUUUUUGAAUUUGAAAUUGUCACAUUUGACUCUAAAUUUUAAUUGUAGAAAUUGUUGGGAUGUCAUUUGUUUUUUAUCCGGACAGGGCCGCGGAGUAUAUUUGGCUCUGUGCCAGUGAGGGGCAUCACAGACUGGCCUCCUCAGGAUUCGAACUUGGGUCCUAUAGGCCUUAAGGCUUAGGACGUUCCUGGUACCAUCUGAGCUAGUAGCCUCUCGAGAAUGUCCUAAGCCUUAAGGNNNNNNNNNNNNNNNNNNNNNNNNNNNNNNNNNNNNNNNNNNNNNNNNNNNNNNNNNNNNNNNNNNNNNNNNNNNNNNNNNNNNNNNNNNNNNNNNNNNNCAUCUACUAGGAGGGCAACUGUUUGGGUUAAGGUCCCGAGUUCGAAUCCUGGGGACGUCACCCUCCAAAGGGCCAAAUAAGCAAAUGGCCCCAUAAGACGUCAGGGUCGCGGAGUAUAUUUGGCUCUGUGCUAGUCAGGGGCAUCACAGAGUGGCCUCCCCAGGAUUCGAACUCAAGACUAAGGUCUUUUUGGUUGCCCUCUUGGUACCAUCUGGGCUNNNNNNNNNNNNNNNNNNNNNNNNNNNNNNNNNNNNNNNNNNNNNNNNNNNNNNNNNNNNNNNNNNNNNNNNNNNNNNNNNNNNNNNNNNNNNNNNNNNNUCCGCGACCCUGCCCGGAUAAAAAACAUCUUAUUCCUCUUUUUGUUCGAUGUUAUUGUAUCUUGUAAGAGAUGACGCUUCACUCAUUUUGGUGUCCCAUCUCUUAUUGAAUAUCAACAAUAAUUUUAACUGUCUAUAUAAAAAAAAUAUAAAUUUUUUAAUUACAUUUGAUUCUCUUUACUAUUUUUCAUAUUAAAAUUUAAAAUAAAAAAAUUAUUUUUCUCAAUGUUUUUUCUUUUCUUGAACCAAAUAUACUAUUAAAAAUUAUAAAAUAGUAAAAUUAAUAUUUUAUAUGGAUUUAGAUUUUUUUUUUUCCUUUUGUAGAAAUUCAAAUUUUGUUUGAUAAUGUUCUCAAAAAGAUUUUUUUUUUUAAAUAAAUUAAAAUGAUUCUGAAUUAUUUUCAAAAACGAAAUUCUAUCCAGGAAUUAAAAUAUGAAGAAAAGGCUUCUUCUUUUUUCCCUCAAAAUUCGGGGGGAAUUAGGAAUAUUGAUUUCUAUAUAUUAUUAUUAAAAACAAAAAUCAAAAUCAUACCGUUUUUGGAAGGUAGGAGAGAAUUAAGGUAGAGUAGGAAUACAACUAAGAUUGACCUCCUUCUUAUUUUUUAUUUCCUCAAAACACCUAAUGGAAUUAGGAAUGUUGAUUUCUAUAUAUUAUUAUUAAAUACACGCAAUCUUGCAUGAGAAUAGUUUCAGUUUCAGUAAUGGCGGAGGAACAAGAUCGAAUAUCGCACCUGCCUGAUGACAUAUUGAUAAGAAUCUUGGGUUUACUUCCUACUAAGGACGUUGCUCGAUCCAGUUUACUCUCACAGGCAUGGCGAAAGCUGUCUCCUUUUUCCUCUCUCUCUCUUUUAAUGUUUCAGUGCCCGGAUUUUCUCGAGUCAUGUCGCAAAAACACUGAUGUCUCCUCAUUCAUCAAUGCCAUCGAUUCCUCCCUAAGACUCCGUCCGAAAGACGUAAAUCUUGCGAGACUUCGGCUCCAUCUGGAUCUCGAUGACAUCGAAUCGGAAUCGCUGAUAGACUCAUGGAUCGACGCGGCACUUGAGAGGAAGGUGAAGGAGCUAGACCUAUAUUUGCGACCUAGGUCAAUAGCAAAGCCUUACGGCUUGCCGGCUAAAAUUUUUUCUACCACAACAAUUACAGUUCUCAGUUUAGAGCAAUGCAGAUUGGAAAUCUGUGGUGAUAUAGAUCUUCCGGCGCUACGAAAGUUGUGUUUAAGACAAAUCCGGUGUGAUGAACAAGCAAUUCGGCAACUGAUAUCAAGUUGCCCGUUGAUCGAGGAUUUGGACAUUGCAUCUUGCGGUGGUUUGCAAAAACUUCAUGUUUCCGGGCUUGCUAAUCUACAUAGGCUUGAAGUAAUUUGCUGUUAUAAUUUGAGAAGGAUAGAAAUCGAUGCACCAAGCCUUCAACAUCUCGUCUAUCAUUGUGGACGCUUGCCGUGUGACAUGGUCUUGACGCCCUGUGAAUUUCUGAGAGAACUAAUACUCCAUGAUCCACAUAUAACAAAUGAUUUCCUCCAAAAUCUCGACUCUGGAUUUCCGAAUCUUGAGCGAUUGGAGAUAGACUCCACUCGAUUGCAAAGGAUUGAGAUUUCGCAUCAUCAGCUCAAGAGAUUAGAACUAAAACUAACUCCAUUGCAGAAGGAGGCGAAACUCAAGAUUGAUGCUCCAAAUCUCCAAUCAUUUACGUAUUCGGGCUAUAGAAUGCCUUUAACCUCUACGAUAUCAUCUAUGAAUACUUCAUCUCUGCGGGAAGCCGAGAUUCACUUCAGGAAUUAUAAUGAUUAUAGCCAUUUUUUCAUCCCUCAAUUGAAGGAAUUUUUUGAAAAAUCGAAGAAUUGCCAAGUUAUAAAUUUACUCAUAAAAUCCAAAGAGGUAAAAUUUCCCUUCAUCUCAUCCUUUUAUUUAUUUAUUUAUUUUAAUUACAAAAAGCUUUUUUUCUGAAUCAUUGCUUACUUUUUUAUUGAAGGAGCUCAUUAUUCCUAGAAAGCUGAGACCAAUUCUAUCUCCCCCUGUUUAUGAUAUCAAGCAUUUAUAUUUAAGGGUAUCGUACUGCAGUAGAUUCCAGUACAUCAUAGAUCGCAUGCUUUGGAUGUGUCACCCUCAAACUUUAUCAAUUCUAUCCGGGACCAAUGUCAGGUUCUUGAAGGUAAUAAAUUUUCUUCUUCCUCAAUGUUAAUUAAUUCUGGCUUUAUUUGAAUUAACUUAAAAGUAUCAUUUAACUUCUAUUUGGUGAAGUCAAAAAUAGAAAGUUCCCAAUUUGUUCUUCUUUAUAUAAACAAAGAGAGAGGUUUUAUAAGGAACAACAUUUUAAUGACUUUUAUCUUAAACUCUUUUCUAAGACAUGACCCCUUUGAACAAAAUUGGUCAAACAAGCAUAAAAACUCUUAUUGGGAUUAUGAAACAGUUUAAGAUUUCUUAGCAAGAAAUCCAAAUAGGGCUCAUAGUCUAACUAUGGUUAUAAAAUGUGAUUACAAUGCAGGUCUUAUAUAACAAGUUUAGGAACAAAGAGGAGAACCCCAAGUGUUGUACAUCUUGUUCCAUCAAAUGCUGGCGGCAUUAUUUGAAAGAUGUUCAAAUUGAUAGUGAUGAAAGCAGAUUGGAAAUUGACCAAAUUAUUGCGAUGCCAGAGUUAUCUCAGAAAUCUACGAAUUGCAAAGUUAGGUUUAGAUUAAAAUGGCGAUCUCAACUACUUUAGAAUAUUGGACUUAUUUACUCUCGUUUACUUUUUAAUAUAAGAUUUUGUAUUUUCUUCAUUAGGAUUAUAUUAAUGCACUGGCUUCUCAUUGAAUUGAAUACAUAAUUAAUUAGUUAUACUAUAUAUUUAUAUAUAUUUCAAAAACCAAUAAUAAUUACUCCUAUAUUAAAAAAUAAAUUCACCUUAUUUCAAGUUUUAGAGCAUGUCAUCAAAAACCCAAAAAGUCUGGCAUUUAUGCUUGACUAUUUGAAAAGUAUGUGAAUAAAUACUUCUCUUGGUGAUUAUGCUAAGGUUUUAAAAUGUUCACGUUACCCUUUUAGGUAAGUAGAUAAACACAUCAUAUUGUGUUAUACUUUCUAACAUAAUAACAUGCCUAUUUAUAAUAAAUUAAUCAUACUUGUACUAGGAUUCCAAUUCAUAUUAGAUUAGGAGUCCUAAUUAACAUCGAAAAUCUAAAUAAUUAACAGUUUUUAAUAUUCAUCUAAUUUCUAAAAUUCUUCUCAUUUGGCUUUAGAUCGGAUUAUAAUUUCAACAACCUCCCAUAAUUUGAAUUUGUGAAUUUGUUGUCAUAAAUCCUAUUUGACAUCUCUCUUACAUCCUACUUUUCAAUAUAAUAAUAAAUUUAUUUAUAAUAAACUAAUCAUAUUCAUACUAGGAUUUCAAUUCCUAUUAUGACUAAUCAUACUUGUACUACGAUUUCAAUUCCCAUUAGGACUAGAGUCUUAAUUAACACAAAAAAAAUCUAAAUAAAUAAUAAUUCAUAAUAUUUAUCAAAUUCCUAAAAUUCCUAUAAUUUGACUUUAAGUCAGAUUAUAAUUUCUAACAUUCAAUGUAUUUAAAUGAAUUGUUAGGAUAUUUUUAUUUUGAGGUAGCAUUGAAGGAGAUGAUGCAAUUUUUUUCUUGAGUAAUAUUAUUUUAAUGAUUUAUUGCAAGAAUGCAAAUGAUGUUUUUAUUUUCAUGCUCCAGUUUUCGGACCAUUUUUGCCCUUAUAUAUUGAGUGAAAGGGAUGCUAUGUUUAUGGUUGAAAUAUUAUCACCGUGAUGGUCCGUUGCAAGAGGGCAAAUGUUGUCAUGGAUGAAGGACAAAGUAGUGAUGUAGUUGUAUUUUGCAGCACUCUCUAUUAGGCCUAAUUUUACAAUUGAUUUCGAAGUAUCCAAUUUUAAAACAACUUUAAAAAAACAAAUGAAAAUAAUUAAAAGUAAUUAAAAGAUGUUAUCUAAAAAUAUUUUAUUUGCUAUUUUUGAUAAUAGAAAAUAGAAAACGGUUUUUUGAUUAUUAAACAUGUUUUCUAGUUUUUCAUUAUAAAAAAUUGAAUUUUUUUUUGAAAAACAAUUGUCAAGCAAAUCUUUAAUCUUCUUAAAAUCACUUCCAAACAAACUCGAGAUUUGAAAAAAUAUUUUUAGUAUGAAAAACAAUGUUUCUGGGAAAAAUUAGAAAAUUUUAUUAAAAAGUUAAUAAAAAAUCAUUUAUACUAUUCUCUAGAAAAAUAAGUUAUUUUUUAAAUAAAUAUUUUAAUUAAAAAUACUUCCAUUAAAUACAUUCCCACUUUUUAUAGGAUGUCAAACAUGGGCUACUUACGAAUUUAACAUAGUAUCCACAAAUUUAAUUUUUUUUUUUUAAAUAUAACUUUUAUAAGUAUACAUUUAUUAUUUAAUUGCACAAUAUUAUUUUACAAUAAUAAUAUGAUAACAUAUUUAAUUUUAAAAUAUAUUUAAUAUUAAAAUUAGAAUCCAUUUUAAUUUAAAAGUAUUCAAUUAUAUCAAAUAAAUAAUAAAAUAUGUAUAAUUUUUUAAUAUUUAUAUUUUUUAUAUUUGAUAAAUAUAUAAAUUAUAUAAAAAAGAUAGAUAAUUAUGUCUUUAUAUUUUUAUAAUAAAUUAAAUCAAAUGUAAAAAUAAAAUAAUUAAAAUUAAUUUAUUUAAUAAAAUAAAUCUUUAGUGUUCUUACGUAUACAUUUUGGUGUAUAACUUUUAUCAAAGAACAAGUUGCUCUAAUGGUUGUUGCAGAUUCUAUCCAAUAAAUGACAAAAUUUCUAUCCGAAAUUUAUAUCGGCACAUAUUGGAGAUAUUAAAUUUUCAUCCUUAAUUAUACCAUAGUUCAAUGUACUUAGAAUACUUUAGGAUGGAAGCCUGAAUGAAGCAUGACCCACAAGGACAACAAUAGAUCUUGUUAGGUUUUAGCAAUUGAUUGGUUCUUUAACUAAUUAAUAUCUGUAUGCUUGUCUUUGCGAAGUGUGUGCUUCAAAUGUGAAGAAAAUUUAUGAGUAUUAGGUAGAGCAUGCACAAAUGCUAUGAGAUUAUCCGUGCAAACUUGGUUGUUUAAAUGGUUUAGCUAUUGGUCCUUCAUUUUGGAACACAUGAUUAUGAAGAGAUUGUGUAAUUUAGAUGGUUAAAUCAUCUAAGAGCUCGUUUGGUAGUGAUUCUAAGAAGUACUUCUAAUAUUUCUAAUACUUGAAAAUUUUUAUCAUUCAAGUGUUAAAAAUGCUAAUUUAGAUGUUAAUUUUUAUCAUUCUAGAAUCAUUCCCAAACGCACUCUAAAUUACAUUGUCUCUUCACUAAAGUAUUCUAAGUAUAUUGAACAAUGGUAUAACCGCCUGGUCUCGAACCAAAAACCAGUGUGCCAAAACUUAAACAGUUCUUUUAGGUUAUGUUUGGUUCCAAAUAUUAAGUCAUAUGCUAACCCUCAUAAUGCCUUAUCCCAUCAGCAGAAUUCAAUCAAUACCUCCAUGAGAAACCAGAAUUUAGCACAUACCCUUCAGCCUUCAAAUGAUCAAUCAGAAUUUCAUAGGUGCUGUAGAUCUCCUGAGAUUUCAGAUGAGUUGUAUCUUCAACUACAAAUCUAUGAAGAGCACCAUCAACUGCAACCUAACUACAACCAGAAGGCUUUUCCAUCCUUUUCGCUUUUACCUGUCUCCUAACUCUAGCAACGUCCUUCCACCUUCCUGCAGAAACAUAAAAGUUCGAUAACAGAAUGCAUAAAUUGGGAUCCUGCAAUGCCAUUGUUGUUUCACUGAUUUUAUCAGUCAGUUAAAGAUUCCAAUGGAUGCAGCCAGGGGCGGAGCCAGCUAAUGCUUGUAAAAAAAAAACUUGCAACGCAGCUAUGCAAUUGUUUUUGCUCUUUUUUUGCCCCCCCUCCCUCCUCUCCUUAACUUAUUUUCUAGCUCCGCCACUGGAUUCAGCCAGCAAUUAGUAAAGCACCCCAGAUUAUAGAAUCAGGUGGAAUUACCAUGUUCUGGACCAAUUCAUAUGCUUCUUUGAGAUGCCCAGCCCGGCCAAGGAGAUCUAACAUACAAGCACAAUGCUCAAGUUUGGGAGACAAUCCAUGUUUAUCAGCCAUACUAGAAAACUGAACCCUUCCCUCUUCUACCAAUCCUGAGUGGUUACAAGCUGAUAAAACUCCAAUGAAUGUGACAUCAUUGGGCUGCACGCCAGUCCUCUCCAUCUGUGAAAAAACCACUAAAGAAUCACUUACAUCACCAUGGUAAGCCAGGCCCAGUAUCAUGGCAUUCCACAAGGCUACAUCUUUCUCGCUUGUCUUGACAAAAACCAAACAAGCAUCAUCAAUUUUACCACAUUUUGCACACAUCAACCAGAGUAGUGGCAAGAAUCACAUUUAGCUCUAAGCCGUUUAGGGUACAGAUGAACUUCUCUCCCAAGUUCCAGUGCCCCUAAGCCAGCACAAGCAGACAACACAUUCACCAACAUGAUCUCAUUCAGUUUCACGGACUGAGCUUUCAUGAGACAGUAUAAAUCAAUUGCCUCCUCAAGAAGUCCACACUGCGCAUAUUCAGAAAUGAUGGCAUUCCAAGAAGGCAGCUUCUUACAAGAAACACCAUCAAAGAUUCUCCAAGCUUUCUCCACAUCCCCGCACUUAAGAAUACAUGUCUACAAGAGCAGUAAACACGAUUGCCUUCAAAGGGAUCUUUUAAACAUCGAUAAAAACCGAAAGGAACCUUCCAACUCCAUAAUUACAGAGAGUUGAACAGGCAGACAGUAGGCACACUCUUGUUGUUGCAUUGAGUUGGACCUCAUCAGCCGAAACAAGCAUCCCCAAAAAAAAAAAAAAGAACUCAACAUCUCAACAAAAUCCCCUUCUUUCCCAUACACAUUUAUCAUUGCAGUCUGGCGAACGACAUUCCUUCUGGUUGGCAUUUCUUCGAACAACUCCCGUGCCUCUCAACCUCACCUCAGUGCACAUACCCUGAUCGAAUGCCAAGAAACCUCAUCUCUAAAUUCCAUAUCAACCCACAAAUUCUGAGUGGAAUCAAGACAAAAAUACUUACAACACAUCUCUAUUAAAGAAUUACACACAAAUAAUCAGAUACAAAACCCAAUCUUAAACCAUGAGUAUGAAUGUGUUCACCUUCAAACACCGACCUAAGGUUGAACAAGCUUUUAGAAUUUUGCGGAGAGUCGUGGAGGGUGUAGGCCCUGAUCAAGGAGUUCCAAGAGAAAUCAGUGGGAGAAGGGGUUUGAUCAAGAAUGAAACGAGUGUGAUCCAUUGAAUUGGGUUGAUGGGCUAUGAAAUGAGGCGAGUUUGAAGUGAGAGGCCAUGGCUGAGGAUUUGGGUGUGGAAGCUGGUGGUUCAGAGGAGGGAGGUAACGGAUGUUUAAAAAAUAACCGCUUUUUGUAUGAACUGGCUGGGAACGUUUUGCGCAUUCGAAACGGUGUCGUUUCACCGAAGUAGAAUGUGAUACGGUGAUGGUAACGUAUUUGUUGAUUUUUUUUAAAAAAAAAGAAAUACCUUUAUAAGAAAAAGAUUUAAAAAGUGAAGUAUUUCCUGAAAAAUAGAAAAAUAUGAUUUUUUUUAAUUAUAGGAAUUUAAUAAAGAGACUUUUUUAUAAUCCAAUUAUGUCAUACUAUAUAGUAUAGAAACAAAUUUAAUAUUAAAAGGAUAUCAAAAAAUAGUAAAAGAAUAAGAAAUAGAAAAAAUAACGUGAAAGUGAUAUAAAACUAUUUUUAAUAAUUCAUUUACCAAAAAUUUAUCAUAUUUUAAAACUAUUUAUUCAAUAUAUUUUUACUAAGAUGAUUAAUUUGUAAAAGAAAUAAAUAAUUUACAUUUUUAGUGUUAUAAAAAAUUUGCAAAAUACUAUCAACCUUAAUUUCAUUUUUUUUUUCAUUUUCAACCAUAUUUGAUUACUUAAUGGAUAAUUUAUUUUCAUUAUAAUUUAAAUUUUUUAUGUUUAAAAAUAAAUUUAAAGGACAAAUCAUAUUUGAUCUCUAGCUGCUUUUUUUCUUCUUUUUUUUCUUUAAUCUUGUAAAUGGGUGUUUUUAAAUAAAAUUCUAAAACUUAUAUUUUGAUUAAAAAAAAAAUGGUCAUAUUUUUAUUUUUUUAAAAUUGUUAAAUAAAAAUUAGUUUAUAAUAUUUUUGAAAAUAACCCUAAAAAUAAUCAUUUUUAAAAAUUAUUCUUAAAAAUUUUUAGCGACAAAAUCUUAUUUAAAAACUUAAAUAUAAAAAUAGUUACAUUCUUAUUGAAUUACAUCGACUCAAAGUAAAUGAUUUCCAAACUGUUUUCACCCCUCAAUUCUUGAUUAUCUCAUGUGGGCUGUAUGUACAUAAAUUAAUUGCCUUGGCCAAUUCUUCAUCUCUCAUGUGGUCUCUUCAGGGAAAUAAACCAACCCUUCAUGUGUUUCUUUUAUUUUGUUAAUUGUUGAAUGACUAUAGGCAAUGGUGCUUACUUGUAUAUUUUAUUUACAUCUAUAUAUAAAUAUUCAAGGAUAGUUAGGAUUUUGCUAAGAAACCUUUUAAAUUCAAUAUAAGAUAAUUAUAGAAAAAUAUAUCAUAACUUCAACGUCUUCUAAGUUCAAUCUAAGAUAAUUAUAGCAAAAGCUAUUACAACCAAGACAGAUCAACAUAAAAAAAACAACUAUUGCAAUCAUAAAGUCAAAUAACAGAAACAGAAAACAAGUUACUAUUACAAUCAUAAAGUCAAAAAAACUACAGGAAUAAGAAACCCCAACUACUGCAACCAAACUGCAAACCCAACCACAACAACCCAAGUACUGAAAUCAGAAACAUAAAACUGAAGUGCCAUCAACCCCAAUAUGGCACAAAUUUGGCUUUUAGCUUUGAGAUUGAUACCUCCACUCCAUCGAUUACAUCCGUGUAUUCUCCCAUAGUAAGAUCAACAUGAAUUUCUCUGCCAGAAAUCUGAAAAAAAAUAUAGAAAAACCAGCAUUAGUGACUCAGCUCAAAUUAAAAAAGAUAAAAAUGAUCAAAAUUAUGUUGAUAGAAGUGUACCGUUGUAGCCAACCAUCCACCGUUGAAUGAAUACUCCACAGGGAGUAAUCCGUCGCAAUGAAAUAACAUCAAAUCCACCUCUGUGCAGUGAUUUUGGCUUAAUGGAGUCCCAUGUCCAGGGAUUAACGAGAUCUCGCCAUGUCUUUCACAUCCUUGACACUGCAAAACCAAGAAAAACCAAGAAUAAAAUGAGAGAAAAAAAGAAAAAAAGAAAAUAGUAGCAAUAGCCAAACCAACAAAAGAAAACAAUGGCAGAGAAAAAAAAACAGGCAUAUUUUGAAGUUAAAAUUGAAAAAGGAAGUAAUCAUAAAAAACAAACAAUAUGAGAGAGAGGAACUAAUAUACCCACCUUUCUGGACAAAUUCAAAUUAUCAUUUCUUCGAUUUCCAGUGGGUUUUUCUUUGAUACUUAUAGAAACACAGGCAUUGUUAUGAGAAAUCCACCCACAAUAUUCACACUUCAGCUGCAAUAAAACAGAGACCAAAACGUUAAAAUACGUAACAAUGUUAAAUCCAAACAACAUUGAAAAUUCACCUUGAAAAAGUAGUUGAUGGUCUCAUCGUCACUACCAUCCUGAGGUUGGAGAAUGACAAUAUUCUUCAACUCAGCAGAUACAACGAGCAUGAGUUUUGGCAUUUUUCCUUUUUCUUCUCUUAAUUUUUUCUUCUUUUCUGAAUACAACGAGCAUGGUGAGAUUAUUACUCCUUUGCUCUAUUUAAAAGAAGAGGAGGACGAAAUGAAAACCAUGCCUACCUGCAUGUUCAAAGACUAGUGCAAGAAAAUGACCAAAUGACAAAACUAAUAAAACAAAAAUAUAGCAGCACAAGCAAAAACAGAAAACAGGACCAAGAAGAGGAAAGACUGCAGAAGUAAUGAGAGAAAAUCACUGUUACCCACCCCAGCAGAAGUAACGAGGAAAACAACUUUUACCCACCUAGUGUUUUCGCUUAUCGGCCGGCUGCGACACGAUAUUCGUCACCGGUCGGCAAAAAUUUUGAUAAUUUUUCGGAAAUAUCAUCAUAUUUCAGUAUUUAUCGGUAUUUUUACCGAUUUUUCUGAUAUUUCCUUACCAGUCCAGCCCACAGUGGGUAAAAGUUGUUGAGUCUCAUUUACUUUUGCUGGGUGGGUAAAAGUCGUUUUCCUCAUUACUUCUGAUGGGGUGGGUAACAAUGGUUUUCUUUCAUUACUUCUGUAGUCUUUCCUCUUCUUGGUCCUGUUUUCUGUUUUUACUUGUACUACUAUAUUUUUCUUUUAUUAGCUUUGUCAUUUGGUCAUUUUCUUGCACUAGUCUUUGAACAUGCAGGUAGACAUGGUUUUCAUUUCGUCCUCCUCUCCUUAUAAAUAGAGCAGAGGAGUAAUAAUCUUACCAUUUGUCUCCAAUGUGAUUCAGAAAAAAAAUAAUUUUAAGUUAUGCUCGUUGUAUCAGAGGAAUAUUGCCCUUCUCCAAUGACGGUUUGAUAAUGAUGAUGCCACGAUGUUAUAAAUGCAAACACUUUGUUCAUUUAGUCUCUAAAGAUACUUGGCAUACCUAAUUUCAAGAGCCUCUCUAAAGUCCUUUCAACGCAGCCACAAGCACAAGAUGCUACAACAUUGGAACAGAUCGAAACCAAGGAAAAUAAACUACAGAAAAAUACACAAAAGACAACUCCUCAUGAGUACUUUGCCAGUAAAAAAAGUCUCACUAAUAUAUCUCCAAAAUAUGAGGUCUUUAGCUACUGACCUAAAAGGGUAAUGUGAACAAGUUAAAACCUUAGUAUAAUCACCUGGGAGAAGUAUUUAUUAUCACAGUUUUCUAUUCCUAGGUAACCUGCAUGUUGUGCCAUUCUUACGCUAAUAGCUUGAACUGCACAUCUUGAGAAAGCAAUUAUUGACGAGUGCUGAAGGGUUUUCAACCUUCCCAUAAGAGGAAGUAUUUCAAGUUAUCUGAACCCACAACCCAAAUAUUUCCUUAUCAUUUUUUAGGGAAUGAAUGACCAAGGGAACUUCAAAAUCUCCUAAUGAACACAAAAACCCUUGGUGUCAUGCUCAUCUCACAAAACAUCAAUGCAUUGAUAAGCUCUCCAACAAUAUCCAAAGAGCAACACCCUCAAAAACAAAUUUCCAGACUGAAUACCAAUCUCUAACUGAUAGCACCAAUUACACAUUACAAAUGCAAUCCCAAGCAACAACAUAUCUUAACUUGCAUAAUAUUUACUUGACAAAAAGCCCUUGAGGCCUGGCUCUAGUGGUUUAGGGUUGGGAGGGUUUGUAGGAGGUUCUAGGUUCAAGCCCCAUUGGGACAAAAAUAUACCUAUACAUAUACAUAUAUUUACUUGACAAAGAUAAUUAGCAAUAGUGAUUUUAUUCCUGGUAAGCAUCUUGGACUGGAAAUAUGAUCCCCUGAUAAUCAAAUCAUAAGCAUAAGCUUCCAGCCUCACACACAACUUAGUCAAGGAGGACAAGAUUCAUUUCCACAACCAUAGCAAGAAAAACUCUACUUUUGAAGGCCAGUAAUUUAUUGUAACCUCAGCAUCACGAGCAAUUAACUUCUGACAAGGUAAAAAGAAUAACAUACAACCAAGCAAUAUUACCAAAACUUCUAGAGUUGCUCUGCCCCAACAUCUGUUUUAACUUUUAAGUCUUCAUGAGGACUUAGACCGAGAUGAACUACAUCCAUCAAACUUUCCAUUCCCCAAAGUACCCAAGCAGGGAGCUGUGGCCCAAGCUGCAAUUUGCCAAAUACGUUGAUGUAUCACACAGGUUCACAAAUCUGAUCAGGCCUCCAAUUCUAUGUCACUCUUGGUUUUGACCCAUAAUUUGUUGUCGUUGCUGCUGCUGUUGCAGGUUCUGAGGGAGGUUUAUGUGGAGCUGUCGAUUUUGGAUAGAUGGUUGAUGCUGAAAAAUAUUAUGAUUUUGAUCUAGAGCUUGAGGCUGCUGCAGAAGUUGGGCCUGAACAUGGCUUGAGAGUAGCGUUUGAUUCAUCGAAACUUGACUUCGGUUGCUGAGCAAUAUCAUUCAAUUGCCACUCUGACUGUACGAUAAAGCCCACAUUUGACUGCUUCUGCUUCGUCAACUUCAUGAGAAGUAUUUAUUAUCACAGUUUUCUAUUCCUAGGUAACCUGCUGCAGAAGUUAAAUGUGUUUGAAGUAACGUAUAAAAUAAUAUAUUGAUUUAAAUUUUUUUUUUCCUUUCCUUGGAUUUUUUAUUUCUAUUUUUUCCCUUACAUUUUCCUUCACCUUUUUUAUGGAACCAAACAUAACCUAAAAUAAUUUUAUUGAUAUUCUAAAGUCGAUACUUGGUAAUGGUAACAAUUUUUGAAAAUAAAAAAUCAUUUCUUAAGCUUAAAUAACAAGACAAAUAAAAUUAAAAAAAAAAAAGAAAAAAAAAAGCUUUCUUUUUUUGUUUUCAUAUUUGAAUUCCUAAUCAGAAUGUUACUUUUUAAAAUAAUUCAGAAUUAUUUUAAUUUUUUAAAAUUGUUUUUAGAACUUUGUCAACAAAAUUUGUUUUCUUGCACAAAAAAAUUCUAAAUUUAUAUAAAGUAAUAAUUUUACAAUAGCAUGUUUGGUUCAAGGAAAGAAAAAAUUAAAAAAAAAUUUUCAUUUUAAUUUUAUGAUUAAAAUAGUAAUGAGAAACAAAUGUAAUUAAGAUUAAUUGAAUUUUUUAUAUUUUUAAAUUAUUUAAUUUUUAUAUUAAAAGUUAAAAUAAGAGUAAUAAGGUAUUAAAUUUAAACUUUUUAAAAUUUAAUUAUGACCUCCUCUUUCCCUAAUUUCCCUAGGGGUUUUAGAUGAAAAGAAAAAAGAAAAAGAGAAAUUAAACUAAACAUAGAAAAAUAUUACAAAUAAUUUUUCAAAUAAGAAAAUAUUUUCUAAAUGUUUCCAAAUACUGAAUUUUUUUUUUCCAAAAGCAUUUGUUUAUACUAAAACUAUUUUUAAAAAACAAAUUACUUCCUAAAAGCCCAAGGUUGUCUAGAAGUGAUUUUGGGAAGCCUCUUAAAUUUAUUUUUUAUUUUUUAAAAAUAUUUAUAUGAUUCCUAAACAACCACUACUAAGGUGACCAAUUUUAAAAAAUCCUUCCCUUUUUUUCUUUCUUCUUCUUUUUUUUUUUAAUAUAACAGUUCAUAAAAAAUAUUAGCGAUAUUAAAUAAAAGAGGGGACACCAAAAUGAGUCAAAGGUCCAAUAUGAUAACAUCCAUAUAUCAGGGGAACAAAAAGAGGAAUCAUCCAUAAAAAAAACCUCUAAUAUCAUCUCUAUAAUUAGAACUUAGAGUCAAAGGUGACAAUUUCAAAUUGAAAAAAGAAGAAUAUGGAGGACCAACACUUCAACUACAAUAUAUGGGCUAUCUUCAAGAUCAUGACGCAACACAAUUUUUAUCAGAAUACUCACAACAUCACAAGCUAAAUGUAGAGAUGGGCCACCAGAAAAUGUUAUAGCAGAAACCCAACCAAGUUGCUAUUGACCCUUAAUCAAAACCCCUUUCCCCAAAGUGAAGAGAGAAACAAAAUACAACCCCUUGACACACAACUCCUAAUCUGUUCAACAGAAAUAUCAGCUCAAAGAUGAAAACUUCCAAAUGAAAUGCAACCACUAAAUCACAAUAGACCUUUCCCUAGUGUCAUUGAAUGCAAUAACAGUCUUAAUAUGAUGCAUGAGACUGGGUUGCCAAAACUCCUUGCUUACUUCUACAUGAGCAUUGGCUGUGGAAGCAACCAAAUCAGCUCUCUCAAAUGUCUUCCCUACUAAUAUCUUGAGAUAUAUACCUUACAGAUUCAAUAAUUCUUUAAAUGAGACCCGGUCACUAGAUGAUAGUUGCAAGUGAAAAUCAGGCUUUACAUCCUAGACUAUAUAAUACAUGGCAACUCUCAAGUAAACUACGAAAAAAAUGCUCUGAAAUCUACAACAAAAUUGCAUCUGAGAGAUGAUGAUAACCUGUGAUGUGCAUCCCUUCUUUAGUGUGUGUGAAAAUGUGAAAACUCUAGAAGAUGAAGAGCAAGUUUUCAGCAAAUCCCAUGGGGCUCCAAAGUUUUGAUCUAUGGCAAUAAUCCAAUCACGAUUUUUUUCAUUUCCACCAAUACUUGGUUACGAACCCAUAAAAUAACUUAAUUAUUAAUCAGCUUCCCUUUAUGCCUUUACUCGUAUUCACUUUGGCAGCUUUACUGAUUUUACCUCAAAUCAGUUAUUUGAUUUUCUUUCCUUACCUUCCCAUAAGGCCUUAUACACAGAAAGGUGCCAGCUUGCCAUCUGCAAAAAAUUCCGAGAAAAAAAGAAAAGAAACUAUCAAUUAGUAUAAGAAUCUUCAAGAAAUUACCAAUUUCAAAAAUUAUAAUGUCAAUAAGCAACAAAUAAAAUUUCAUAAACGCAUAGUAAGUGGUUAUAGCAACAGAAAAAUCAAAGCUCACAGCAACAAACUCGGUGGAAGCAUGCACCCCCACUGCUUGCACUCCCAGAACAUUAACAACCUCUAAUGUACACUGGUACUUAUUAUAAUUAACCACGUUAGCUAUCUAUAAGAUACCUAAUGCUUCCCUCUGGCAAUCUAUCAAUCACUUCCAUUGGCCAGCUUACUAACUUUAAGCAUAGCUACAUAGUCCAUCGGAUGUUCUUGAUUUCCAUGGAAUAAAUCCAGAAAGUGAUUCAUUAUCUUCGCAAAAAUCUAUUGAGUUAAUGUUACAAAUAGAAGGAAGAAAUUUCUCUAUUUUAACUUGGAAUUUGGCUUCUCUUAACACUAUUGAUGCAGUUUGCUAUUCUUCCUUUUUCGUAAAUUUUCCUGAAGGAACGCUUAUCCUAAGGAUAAUACUAUUGCUUCGACUUUGAUAGCCUUGAGGAGACCAAUGCAUUCAAUCCCCUCUGCAAGUAUUCCUUCCAAAAUAAGCAUAAUAUAAACAGAUAAAAUAUAUGUAUACAUACAUAUACGGUUCAAUCUGCCUGUAAACUGACCAUGCCAACCUUGUUUGGCCAUCAUUCUGACAGAAAUUUGAAUAUAUCCAGCUAAAAUUUUCGAGUCGGCUUCAACUAUCCAACCCAUGCAAGUGGAUGGACUCUUAUCCACAUCUUCAUUACUCUCCAACAUUACAUUCUAGACAUAACAAAAAUACUCAGACAGUAAUUCGUAAACUCAGAAUUCCUAUUUCCAAAAGUUCUUCCACUUCUCAAUUGCCAGGUGGCUCCCUAUUAUGCCUUCUCCUAUCAGCUGAAUCAAUCAAUCCCUCCAUGAGAAACCAGAAUUAGAGGCUGUGGGAGUGGAAGCAGUGGGGGGUGCAUGCUGCUUCUGCUGAGUUGGUUGUUGUAAGCUUCUGAUUUUUCUGUUGCUAUAACUCCUUACUACGCGUUUCUGAAAUUUUAUUUGUUGCUUAUUUAGUAUUAUAAUUUUUGAAAUUGCUAAUUUCUUGAAGAUUUUUAUACUGAUUGAUUGUUUCUUCUUUAUUUUGUUGGAAUUUUUUGCAGAUGGCAAGCUGACACCUUUCUGUGUAUAAGGCCUUCUUAUCAAAAGGUAAAGAAGGAAAAUCAGGUAAAUUGAUUGAGGUAAAAUUCAGUAAAGCUGCCACCACAGGUUAUCACCAUCUCCCAGAUCCAAUUUUGUGAUUGAUUUCAGAGCCUUUUUUAUUUUUAUUUUUAUGUAUCUUACUUGAGAGUUGCCAUGUAUGAUAUAGCCUAGGAUGCAGAGCCUGUUUUAAACUUGCAACUGUCAUCUACUGGUCAGGUCUCAUUUAAAGAAUUGAUGAGUCUGUAAGGCAUAUUAGUAGGUAGUUGAUCAGACAUUUUCACUUGAAACACUGUGGAAGUAACCAAAGAGUUUUGGCAACUGCGCUUGCCUAUCGUAUUAAGCAUGUUAUUACAUUAAAAAGACACCAGACAAUGUUUUAUAGUAAUUUAGUGGGUGCAUUUCACUCAAAAGUUUUCAUCUUUGAACUGAUAUUUUUGUUUAACAGAUUAGGAGCUGUGUGUGUCAAAGGGGUUAUAUGUUAACAAGCAACUUGGUUAGGUUUCUGCUAUGACAUUUUCUUUUG
rnacentral:lncRNA from 1 species